GUGGGAACACCUGUUCCCAUACGAUUACUGAAGUUAAGCAAGGUCGAGCCAUGUCAUUACCUAGAUUAGUGACUUCUUGGGAAUACCAGGUGCUGUAAG